rnacentral:rRNA from 1 species
UACGUAGGGGGCAAGCGUUGUCCGGAUUUAUUGGGCGUAAAGAGCGUGUAUGCGGCCUGAAAGGUCAGCUGUGAAAACUCGAGGCUCAACCUCGAGACGUCGGUUGAAACCAUCUGGCUAGAGUCCGGAAGAGGAGAGUGGAAUUCCCGGUGUAGCGGUGAAAUGCGCAGAUAUCGGGAAGAACACCCGUGGCGAAGGCGGCUCUCUGGGACGGUACUGACGCUGAGACGCGAAAGCGUGGGGAGCGAACAGG